UACGUAGGGUGCAAGCGUUGUCCGGAAUUAUUGGGCGUAAAGAGCUCGUAGGCGGUCUGUCGCGUCUGCUGUGAAAACUCGGGGCUUAACCCCGGGCCUGCAGUGGGUACGGGCAGACUAGAGUGCGGUAGGGGAGACUGGAAUUCCUGGUGUAGCGGUGAAAUGCGCAGAUAUCAGGAGGAACACCAAUAGCGAAGGCAGCUCGCUGGGACGGUAUUGACGCUAAGGCGCGAAAGCGUGGGGAGCAAACAGG
rnacentral:rRNA from 1 species